AACAGUUCAGAUUCAUAAAGAAGAGAUAACAUAUGCUGUUCCCACAUUCCACAAAAGGAAAGCACAUAAAUUGAACGUUAAAGAGGAAGAUCAUGUUGUGUAUGUGCCUAUUGCCAUAAGAUGAUGAUCAAACUUCAAUGAUGAAGAUGACAACGUUUCAUCAGGAAAUGACAGCGGACUGAAUAGGAUCAUUCUUGGUAUUUAAAGAUGAUUCAUGAAAUGGUCUUCUAAAACCUCUUUGACUUUAACAAAUGAUCUAAAUCACACGGCACUGUGCAGCAUUAUCAUGUUUGACUCUUAAAAGUUUUAGUGAGAUCAUGUGUGUAAAUCUCUCCUCAGUGCAAAAUAAUCAAAAGGAGUGGAGACUUCUCAUGUGUUCACAUCUGUACAGAAAUGUGGUUUGAUCUGUUGGCCAAACAGGUUAUGCUCGAGCUUGUAACUGCUAGAUGUUUGUGUUAAUGGCAGUGUGUGAGAGUGUGUUUGAGGUGUCAAUAGCGUGCGAUUGAAGGUUAUUUUUCCAUUCCUGCUCACAUGAAACUGUUUGACUUCUGCUUUAGACAAAACAUCUUUACUACAAAAUACUAAAUCCAACAUAAAAAAUUCUCAAACCAAAGAGAGAUCCUACUGUGUGAAUGUGAAAUAUAGAAAACGCUGCAAUAUUUAGUUUAGUUAGUUUUAAUUAAUUUAUAUUUUAUUUCUGAUUAUCCACUUGUAGUACUGCAUUGUAGUAAGAAAAUAGAUUUUGUAUACAGUUAUUUUUGUUUGUUUACAGGUAAGCUUUCUAAAGAAGUAACUCUGGGAACAGAUCACAUAAUCCACAUUAAACAGGAUAAACAUAAGACAGAAAGAGAGGUUUGAACAAUAGAAGUAUUUUCCCAUUGUUCUGUCACAAAGGGCAAACAAAAACAGUAAUUAAUAAUGAAUCAAACCUGGUAAACGUUUUGUAGACAUAGUCUUAAAUACACAUUUAGUCAUCAAUGAAACAG